AGGCAGCAGUUAGGAAUUACUGGGCGUAAAGCGCACGUAGGCGGAUCGAUCAGUUAGGGGUGAAAUCCCAGGGCUCAACCCUGGAACUGCCUCUAAUACUGUCGAUCUCGAGUUCGAGAGAGGUGAGUGGAAUUCCGAGUGUAGAGGUGAAAUUCGUAGAUAUUCGGAGGAACACCAGUGGCGAAGGCGGCUCACUGGCUCGAUACUGACGCUGAGGUGCGAAAGCGUGGGGAGCAAACAGGAUUAGAUACCCUAGUAGUCC
rnacentral:rRNA from 1 species